GGCCCCGCCCCGCCGCGCAGCCCUCAGCGGGGACACGCCGGGUAUCGGUGUCUUGUGCCGCGGCCGCAGCCCCGCGCGGUCAGGCAGCCCCCGGUGCCCGCUCCGGUGCCCGCUCCGCUCCCGGCCGCCGCCAUGUAUUUCUGCAGGGCCGCCUCGCAGGCGCUGGCCUCUCGCCUGAGCCGGGCUCCUUCUGCCGCGAGCCGCCUCAAGCAGCGGGCACCUCUUCGCCAGAUGUCAUCUGGGAGUGUUCCUGGCUCUUCCGGGGAGACCAUGAUUUACUAUCUCCUUGCUGGUGUUGCUGCUUUUGGUGGUUUAUACUAUGCCUACAGAACAGUCAGUUCAUCCCGCAGCAAUUAUAUUGAACAUAUGAAUAUUCUUCAUGAGAGAGCUGAGGGGCGGAAAACCAAAACUUGGUCAAGCAAGGGUGAUGAAGAAGAGACGGCUGAAGUCACUGAAGCAGAGAUAGCCACAGAAGAGGCUGAUGCAGUAGCUGCUGCUGGACCUGCAGCACAGGACGACAGUGCUGGACCUGCAGCACAGGAUGAAAGUGCUGGGGUAUCCCCAGAAACUGGAGGGGAGAAUGACUUGCCGGCUCCAGAUGCAUCCCCUGCUGUAGAGGAAGCACAGCAGGAAGCUGCUGCUAAUUUGGAAGUUGCUGCUGAUUCAGAAGGUGCUACAGUGCAAGAAACUGUGAGUGAAGUCUUGGAUGUUGCAGCUUCUUCUACCCAUGAGGAAAACUUAGACAGUGUCAAGGAAGGAGUAGCCUCAGCAGCUCAAGAAAUUUCUGACACAUCCUCAAGGAGUGAGGACAUUGAUGCUGAGGAGUCGGGGCAAACUUCAGAAGUUUCUGUGGAGGAGAAGACACCUGAAGAAGUUGCUAAGGAGCACUAAAGGUACACAGACAAUUGCAACAUGCGGUUUCCCACUCUUCACCUUUCUUUUUUUCUCAGUGGCAGUUGCAGCAUGUGUAAGCAGUGCUGAAGCCUUUGAAAAGUUUAAUGGAAAUAUUUGUGGCAAUCAACCAGCUGAUUCCCAUGUGAAACCUUAUACUCUUCCUUGGAGACAUAAAAGAAAUUGUGCAGUUUUUCAUACCACACACUGCUCCUUAGGACCAGUAUUCAAUGCUGCAACAGACAACCUAAUUCUGUUUAAGUUGGUUAAAGAGAUGCUUCUAUGAUUAACAUCCCUGCUUUAGAAAGUAGCAUCCAGUAAUAACUGUCAAAGCACCACCCAGCGUGUAAUAAAUCUAUGUGCUAAUAGAAACAGUAAACUUAACUGAAACCAUGUCAGAACUCAUUCUAGGUCUUAGUUGUCUUAUUCUGUACAUUGAUUUCUUACUUUUUGUUCAGACUUUGCUGCAUAAUUAUAACAUUGUAACAUUCCUGGCUAAAAUUUAAGUAAAAGGUUUUAACUAAGUUAAAAUCUUAUGAAAAUUACCUGCUAGUAUUUUUACAUCGGGUCACAGGGAAAAUAACAACCUUGUUUGCUGCCAGGUUUGGAUUUACAAUUGUAAGCAUAGGGCAUUUGGCUGUACAAGAUCUAAUUUUCCCCCUGCAUAAACAUUUUAGAUGCUACCCUUCCUUGCACGAUAAUAUCCAAGAGUAAACAUUUUUAAGGCUCCUGCUUUGAGAACAAAACCUAUUUGCAAGUAGUAGCAAUAGGUAAUUUAUAGCAUGAAAAUCAAAAUAACACUGGUUGAAGUUACCAUCAUUGAUCGAAGUGGUAGCUCCUGCUUUGGGGAUGCUGGGCCCUGUUCCUACCAAACUUCAUGCAGCUUGCUGUAGUCUUUCUGCGUUGUUCUGUCUGAGCAGGGGCAUGUGGGAAUGGCGUAACAACGCGCGUGGUGGUUUGAGAGAACACUCUUGUACAAGUCGUGAGCAAUUCAGGCUAUGGUAAAGCUGCUCUCUAAGCACUUGCAGGUGGCCGGCAAAGUCCCUGUGAAAGGCUAUGCCACAGGUGUUCAAAUGGACAAGGAUUCUUAGGGACUAAUAAAGAACAGAACAGCUAAAUAAUCUCAUCUUGUUGGUAUUAUCUUAAUGAAAAAACUUAUAAUGAAUAAUGGAUUUGUAUGACAUUGUUCUCCUGACCCUCCACUGUGUUAUAUGCAUGUGCAUGAGUGUGCAUCUACUAGAAAAUUUUUCCUAAGAGCUGUUACAGCCAUCACAGAAUGGUGAUAAUUCUAAAUUGGGGCCAAAUAAUGUAUAUUAUACACAAUUUGUACAGAAAGCGUGAAUUAUAAAGUGUAUCUGACUGCCUUCUGUUCAAGCAGAACUUUGGAAAAAUGUUGAAAGGGAAAUCAACAGCAUUACAACAUUCCUACCCCAUGGCACAAAGCAACAUAUGCUCCUUCCCCCAGUGUAAAGCAAAUUAUAAUAGCGUUCCAACAAAAAUGUAGCCUAUUGCCCCUCUACUGGCUUAGGAAUAACUGGAAUAAUGCAGAAGCAAAAUGAUGCUCCUGAGCUUCAAGAAGCCAUACCACAGCCUUCUGCUUAAAGGAUAAAGCCACUGUGAUUAAAUGCAAUUUUUGUAGACAAAGCUACUGGAAUAAAAGUCUUAGACUGA